UCAGGUGCGAAAGCGUGGGGAGCAAACAGGAUUAGAUACCUGGUAGUCCACGCUGUAAACGAUGUCGACUUGGAGGUUGUUCCCUGAGGAGUGGCUUCCGGAGCUAACGCGUUAAGUCGACCGCCUGGGGAGUACGGCCGCAAGGUUAAAACUCAAAUGAAUUGACGGGGGCCCGCACAAGCGGUGGAGCAUGUGGUUUAAUUCGAUGCAACGCGAAGAACCUUACCUACUCUUGACAUCCAGAGAACUUAGCAGAGAUGCUUUGGUGCCUUCGGGAACUCUGAGACAGGUGCUGCAUGGCUGUCGUCAGCUCGUGUUGUGAAAUGUUGGGUUAAGUCCCGCAACGAGCGCAACCCUUAUCCUUUGUUGCCAGCGGUUCGGCCGGGAACUCAAAGGAGACUGCCAGUGAUAAACUGGAGGAAGGUGGGGAUGACGUCAAGUCAUCAUGGCCCUUACGAGUAGGGCUACACACGUGCUACAAUGGCAUAUACAAAGAGAAGCGACCUCGCGAGAGCAAGCGGACCUCAUAAAGUAUGUCGUAGUCCGGAUCGGAGUCUGCAACUCGACUCCGUGAAGUCGGAAUCGCUAGUAAUCGUGGAUCAGAAUGCCACGGUGAAUACGUUCCCGGGCCUUGUACACACCGCCCGUCACACCAUGGGAGUGGGUUGCAAAAGAAGUAGGUAGC
rnacentral:rRNA from 1 species